AUCGGCUGAAAGGACGAGCUGGCAGGAUAUUUCGCAGAAGGGCGAACCAGCGCAGUGCCGAGCAGGAAAAGGCGAGAAACGGCCUGUGCUAAUUUUCCUGGCUAGCUAGAUUUUUGGCGCGCUCCAGAUUUAAUCCUGCAGUCUAAGUGAAUGUGAAAUGUAACAAGCCAAGUGACAGUUACCAAAAGUCAGAAGACAAAAGGAAGGGAGGAAAGCUAAAAGGCAGAAAGCCACCGAACAGAUGGAAACAACUCGCAGAUGCUGAUGUUCCUGCCCCAGGAGACAUUUAACAUAAUAAAAACGAACGUGUGCGGCAUUUUGUGUUGCCUUUUGGCCAAGUUAACUCCUGUUCCUGCAUCUGUGUGUGUGUGUGUGUGUGUUCGUUACAUGCUAAUAUCACAGACACUCGCCCGCGCACAACCCACACAAACUUACAAACAAACAAUAUUGCAAAUGUGUGCGUGAGGCAGUUGGCCAAAGUGUCGUAAAUCGUUUAGACAGCGCGACGUGGCCCAGAAAAAGGAGAUGAGGGCCAAAAAACGAUAUGUAAACGACACAGCAGUCGCCGUGGGAAAAACUGGGAAACGCCAACAGAAAAAGCCAAGGAAACGAAGGAUCCGACAAUGAACUGCAUUUGUUGCUCAUAUAUGUGAUAUUAGAUAUGCGAUGAAAAAGUUUUGACAAAUUAACUUUUUGCAAUGAAAACUGAUUUAUCCAUUUGUUGACCCCUCUUUCUGUUACAAAAACGCCAGAAAGGUCCUGGGCCCUCACAAAAAGUUUCUGCGAGCCAGGACACCAGAACCCAGAGCUCACACACACACACAUACACACGGACACAAGACAGAGACACGCACAAAGAGAUAUCAGCAGAGAUACAAGCUUCUUUUUUCUUUUUGCCUCUUUAUACUUCCAAAUGACGAUGAUGACGAUGGCCUAACAAUACUGCCAUAAGUAUGAAUAUCGCCAUAAAU
ensembl:ncRNA lncRNA:CR44978 long non-coding RNA:CR44978